rnacentral:tRNA from 1 species
GGGGUUGUGGCUCAGUGGUAGAGCACUCACCUGUCACGUGCAAGGCCCUGGGUUUGAUCCUCAGCACCA